rnacentral:rRNA from 1 species
AUUGAACGCUGGCGGCAGGCCUAACACAUGCAAGUCGAACGAGUGGCGGACGGGUGAGCAAUGUCUGGGAAACUGCCUGAUGGAGGGGGAUAACUACUGGACACGGUAGCUAAUACCGCAUACCAUCGGAUGUGCCCAGCUGGGAUGAGCUAGGGGGUGGGGUAACGGCUCACCUAGGCGACGAUCCCUAGCUGGUCUGUGAGGCUGACCAGCCACACUGGAACGGAGACACGGCCCAGACUCCUACGGGAGGCAGAAGUGGGGAAUAUUGGACAAUGGGCGCAAGCCUGAUGCAGCCACGCCGCGUGUAUGAAGAAGGCCUUCGGGUUGUAAAGUACUGUCAGCGGGGAGGCGUUACCCGCAGAAGAAGCACCGGCUAACUCCGUGCCAGCAGCCGCGGUAAUAC